UACGUAGGGUGCGAGCGUUAAUCGGAAUUACUGGGCGUAAAGCGUGCGCAGGCGGUUUUGUAAGCCAGAUGUGAAAUCCCCGGGCUUAACCUGGGAAUGGCAUUUGGGACUGCAAGGCUAGAGUGUGGCAGAGGGGGGUGGAAUUCCGCGUGUAGCAGUGAAAUGCGUAGAGAUGCGGAGGAACACCGAUGGCGAAGGCAGCCCCCUGGGCCAAUACUGACGCUCAGGCACGAAAGCGUGGGGAGCAAACAGG
rnacentral:rRNA from 1 species